CCUAGUGGCACAGUUUUAACAACUUUUAACUGUCCUUUUUUUUUUAUUUUUUUAUUUUUUUUAUUUUUCUGGCUGUUUGCCUUGAAUUCCUGUGAAGGACCUUAAGGAUCUCUGCAUUAUCAUGGACCUUGGAAACAUCCAGAGCAGCACUAUUUUAAUGGUGUCUAUGAAUCUAUGGGGCUUAUUUAAUGGGAAAAAAAAUAUAUUGCCAUGCAAGCUCUCCAGGUGCAGUCUGAAAGGGGAGGGUUGUUCAUCCAGCAGUGAAACUGAGCAGUGAGCAAGCUGUGCAUGCUCAGGGUGGCCUCCAGUCUGUGCUGGAAAGGACUUCCACCACCACAGCCUUUACACAGGAAAACUCCAAGAAAGAAGACAUUCAUCCUCCCAGAGGGUAACAGGAACUUUCUGCUUGACCUGAGGUGAGCCUAAACCUAGGCCUGAGGGAUUCAACAUAGGAACUCUGUUCUUCAGUCCUUUGUGUAAGCAGGAAAGGCAGAUUUCCCCCAGCCUGGCAGCUGCUGUGAGCCUGCAGUGCCAGCCAGCCCUCUUGCCUGGUGUGUGUGAGACCAGGCAUCGAGGGCAGCAGCUGUGAAUUCAACCAGGCUGAAAUGUUAAAUGUUGCUGCUCUGAAUAUCACAUUACUUCAUUUCUCCUUUGGGAAUGCAUAGCUAAAAGAGAGAAAAUUUCACUUCCCAUGUAGAAAGCAAGAGGUCAUUUUCACCUCCUCUUCACAGUGACUGAAUAGGUGGAGAAAGUGCAAUAAUGGAUCUUUACAGUGACCCUUUUAUCUCAUGGGAGCAUUUUGCAGUGAGGUGUG
rnacentral:lncRNA from 1 species